GGUCAUAGUCACUGGUGAAGGGAUUGGAAAAGUAUGGUGAUCAGAAUGAUGAGGACAGAGAUAUGACUGAUGCCAUUGCUGCUCAGGUGCGCCGUUUGGCCAAUGAAGUUCGGCAGAUAGCGUCAAACAGGUAAUUUAUCAUCUCUUGUGGUUCCAGCAGCUGUCGUCGGUGCUGCAGGCUAUGGCUAUAUGCGGUUCAAGGUUUGCAAGUUUUUGGAGGUGUCAAUGUUGUCUUUUUCACCUGAAUAUGGCCCUAAGCUGAAGGAGGAAUAUGUGAUGGUGAAGCAUCUACCUAAAAUUAAGAAGGAUGAAGACUCCCGAAAGUGUUGUUUGUCUGACUGCUUUCAUUGUUAUAAUGACAAUUGGCAGAAGGUGUGGGCUGUACUGAAACCUGGAUUCUUGGCAAAUUGUGAAACCUGACACAAAACAAUAUUAUCCGAGCUGUGAGGAUUAUGAUUCUAGUGUGGAUUGUUUUUCAGCUCCAACCAAGUACGUGAUUUGGAGUAGUAGAAUAAAUACUCAUGUUUGGCCUGCAUAUGUUAUAAGCUUCAGGGUUCCUUCAUUCAAAGACUUAAGCAGAUGGACCCUGUCAUCAGUGGGCGUGGUGCUGAACCUGUAUUUCGUGAUAACUAAGGAAACGAUAUUCUAAAAGUACUUCCAUAUACUUUCUCCAGUACUGCAUAUCAUUAUUUUGUUUAUACUGUGUUUCUUAUAUGUUUGUAGCUUUCUAUAUGCAAUGGGCUGCAUAUUAUAUAGGUGCAAAAUGUGAAUAUUC